UUGGAGGGCAAGUCUGGUGCCAGCAGCCGCGGUAAUUCCAGCUCCAAUAGCGUAUAUUAAAGUUGUUGCAGUUAAAAAGCUCGUAGUUGAAUUUCGGGGUUAGUAGGUUGGUCAUGCCUCUGGUAUGUACUGGUCUCACUGAUUCCUCCUUCCUGAUGAACCGUAAUGCCAUUAAUUUGGUGUUGCGGGGAAUUUGGACUGUUACUUUGAAAAAAUUAGAGUGUUUAAAGCAAGCUAACGCUUGAAUACAUUAGCAUGGAAUAAUGAAAUAGGACGUUCGAUCCUAUUUUGUUGGUUUCUAGGAUUGACGUAAUGAUUAAUAGGGAUAGUUGGGGGCAUUAGUAUUCAAUUGUCAGAGGUGAAAUUCUUGGAUUUAUUGAAGACUAACUACUGCGAAAGCAUUUGCCAAGGAUGUUUUCAUUAAUCAAGAACGAAAGUUAGGGGAUCGAAGACGAUCAGAUACCGUCGUAGUCUUAACCAUAAACUAUGCCGACUAGGGAUCGGAUGAUGUUAAUUUUUUAAUGGCUCAUUCGGCGCCUUACGGGAAAC
rnacentral:rRNA from 1 species